rnacentral:misc_RNA from 1 species
AAGUCGUAACAAGGUUUCCGUAGGUGAACCUGCGGAAGGAUCAUUACUGAGUAACUAAGGUUUACAAGCCCCUUACGGGGUGAGUACUCCUUUCUUCUCUUCACCCUUUGUUAUUAUUACUUAGUUGCUUUGGUAGAGUGCUGUAUAGCCUUUACCAAGGGACCAUUUUAAACACUUUGUUAUCCAAUAAUUGGUUGUCUUCUGUCUGAUUUUUAUAACUUUAAUAAGUAAAUAAAACUUUCAACAACGGAUCUCUUGGUUCUG